rnacentral:rRNA from 1 species
GUACCCCAAACCGACACAGGUGGUCGGGUAGAGAAUACCAAGGCGCUUGAGAGAACUCGGGUGAAGGAACUAGGCAAAAUGGUACCGUAACUUCGGGAGAAGGUACGCUCUUGAUGGUGAAGUCCCUUGCGGAUGGAGCUGACGAGAGUCGCAGAUACCAGGUGGCUGCAACUGUUUAUUAAAAAACACAGCACUGUGCAAAAUCGUAAGAUGACGUAUACGGUGUGACGCCUG